GCCUACGGCCAUACCACCCUGAACGUGCCCGAUCUCGUCAGAUCUCGGAAGCAAAGCAGGGUCGGGCCUGGUUAGUACUUAGAUGGGAGACUGCCUGGGAAAACCGGGUGCCAUAGGCU
rnacentral:rRNA from 1 species